rnacentral:rRNA from 1 species
UACAGAGGGUGCGAGCGUUAAUCGGAAUUACUGGGCGUAAAGCGUGCGUAGACGGUUGCGUAAGUCAGAUGUGAAAGCCCCGGGCUCAACCUGGGAAUUGCAUUUGAGACUGCGUAGCUAGGGUGCGGAAGAGGGAAGCGGAAUUUCCGGUGUAGCGGUGAAAUGCGUAGAUAUCGGAAGGAACACCAGUGGCGAAAGCGGCUUCCUGGUCCAGCACCGACGUUCAGGCGCGAAAGCGUGGGGAGCAAACAGG